ensembl:snRNA U6 U6 spliceosomal RNA
GUGCUUUCUUCAGCAGCACAUAUACUAAAUUUGGAACAAUACAGAGAAGAUUAGCAUAGUCCCUGAGCAAGGGUGACACGCAAAUUCGUGAAGAGUUCCAGAAUAAA